GGCGGCGUAGCCAAGUGGUAAGGCAGCGGUCUGCAAAAUCGCUAUUCAUCGGUUCGAAUCCGGUCGCCGCCUCCA
rnacentral:tRNA from 1 species